rnacentral:rRNA from 1 species
CAGCACCUCAAGUGGUCAGGAUGAUUAUUGGGCCUAAAGCAUCCGUAGCCGGCGCUGUAAGUUUUCGGUUAAAUCUGUACGCUCAACGUACAGGCUGCCGGGAAUACUGCAGCGCUAGGGAGUGGGAGAGGUAGACGGUACUCGGUAGGAAGGGGUAAAAUCCUUUGAUCUAUUGAUGACCACCUGGGGCGAAGGCGGUCUACCAGAACACGUCCGACGGUGAGGGAUGAAAGCUGGGGGAGCAAACCGGAUUAGAUACCCGAGUAGUCC